CCCCCCCACCAACCCCACCGCUGGGCUCCCUGAGCCUUGGGUCCGUCCACUGUGCAGCACGAUGGUUGUGCGGAUUCCAGGAUGAUUCAUCUCAUGAGAAUUUGAAUGCUGGUGGAAAAUUGUACAGAAAAUCCAGAAACCAACUGGAGAGAACCUAAGUGUAAAUGUACUGGAAGGAUACUCAGGACAUCAUGGAAUCCAGGGAAGAGUGGAACCACCAAGCCUUACCCUGGGAGAGUUGGCCCAGGAAGCCCACCGGUUCCUCCAGAGCAUGGCACCAGCGGCCCUGUCAAAUCCAAAGUUUCCGGCAUUGAUUCACAUGCACAGAGUAUGUAUUCAAGCUUGCACAGUUUAAUAAAUUCUGAGAAUUAUACUACAUGUGGGCUCAUUCCUUUGAAACAGGUCUUUUUGGCUACCAUAUUAAAGCCCUAAGGAGACCUGCUUCAGGCAGUGCUAACUUGAGUUGAGUGGCUGUAGCUGACAAUAUACCCAGAUUCCAAUGCCCAGUGUAAACCAAGUGGCAGCAGCCUUGGCAGUGCAGCUUGAAGACAGCCUGUUCUAGCUUGGGCAGGCUACUUUCAGAGUGUCCUUGCCAAAGGCUCUGGUGCCAACCACCAUCAAGGCCCAAGGAACUCUGCAGUGACUACUGAUCUACUGAGUGCCAGGCAGCCAGGCUAAGCGAUAUGUUGAAUACAAAGAUGAGUUCCUGAC
rnacentral:lncRNA from 1 species